rnacentral:misc_RNA from 1 species
UCAAACUUGGUCAUUUAGAGGAAGUAAAAGUCGUAACAAGGUCUCCGUUGGUGAACCAGCGGAGGGAUCAUUACCGAGUUUUCAACUCCCAAACCCACUGUGAACAUAUACCUUUGUUUUCGUUGCCUCGGCGGGUCUUGCUCCCUGGAAACAGGGGUUCGCGCCGCCGGGUGACACCUAAACCCUGAUUUAAUUACAGAAGUCUUUCUGAGUAAAAACAUUCUAAAUGAAUCAAAACUUUCAACAACGGAUCUCUUGGUUCUGGCAUCGAUGAAGAACGCAGC